CUGCAGCCCGAGUGGUGAUCGAUUUUAUUGAGCCUAAAGCGUCCGUAGCCGGACUAGUAAACCCUUGGGUAAAUUGGGCAGCUUAACUGUCCAAAUUCCGAGGGGACUGCUAGUCUUGGGACCGGGAGAGGUCAGAGGUACUCAAGGGGUAGGGGCUAAAUCCUGUAAUCCUUUGGGGACCACCAGUGGAGAAGGCGUCUGACUAGAACGGAUCCGACGGUAAGGGACGAAACCCUGGGGCGCGAACCGGAUUAGAUACCCGAGUAGUCC
rnacentral:rRNA from 1 species